rnacentral:rRNA from 1 species
UACGUAGGGUGCAAGCGUUGUCCGGAAUUAUUGGGCGUAAAGAGCUCGUAGGCGGUUCGUCGCGUCGGCUGUGAAAACCUGAGGCUCAACCUCAGGCCUGCAGUCGAUACGGGCGACUGAGUACGUCGCAGGGGAGACUGGAAUUCCUGGUGUAGCGGUGAAAUGCGCAGAUAUCGGGAGGAACACCAGUGGCGAAGGCGGCACUCUGGGCCGUGACUGACGCUGAGGAGCGAAAGCGUGGGUAGCAAACAGG